AGUAGUGAUGUGGAACUCGGGAACUGAUUCGUGAAGAAACGCACGAACGCUGAUC
rnacentral:snoRNA from 1 species